CACGUAGGCGGACUCUUAAGUCGGUGGUGAAAUCCUGGAGCUCAACUCCAGAACUGCCUUCGAUACUGAGAGUCUCGAGUCCGAGAGAGGUGAGUGGAACUGCGAGUGUAGAGGUGAAAUUCGUAGAUAUUCGCAAGAACACCAGUGGCGAAGGCGGCUCACUGGCUCGGUACUGACGCUGAGGUGCGAAAGCGUGGGGAGACAAACGA
rnacentral:rRNA from 1 species